rnacentral:rRNA from 1 species
UACGUAGGUGGCGAGCGUUGUCCGGAUUUACUGGGCGUAAAGGGAGCGUAGGCGGACUUUUAAGUGAGAUGUGAAAUACUCGGGCUCAACUUGAGUGCUGCAUUUCAAACUGGAAGUCUAGAGUGCAGGAGAGCAGAAUGGAAUUCCUAGUGUAGCGGUGAAAUGCGUAGAGAUUAGGAAGAACACCAGUGGCGAAGGCGAUUCUCUGGACUGUAACUGACGCUGAGGCUCGAAAGCGUGGGGAGCAAACAGG